ensembl:lncRNA
GUGAAAUAGACGGUCGAUAAGAGAUGAAGUCUGUGUCUUAAUUGUUUUGUGUAGGAAGUCAUCGGACUGUUGCAAUCAAAGGGAGGCGAGUUAUAAAUGUGACACUACAUUUUAACCAGUAGUAGUCUUUGUUGCAGAACUGUAGGAACCACAUCGAUGUCCAGAAGUUUGUUACACCUGACAACAUAACAACCCUUCUCAUUGAAGAUGGCUUCUUUCUUUAUUUUGUCCUCUGUUUUCACAGAGCAGGAUGAGAGCUGUAAUCUAUGAGGGGUUAAAAGUGGCAGAACAUAUGGGAUGUUUAAAAAAUAUAUAUAUUUAAAAAAUAAUAAUAAAGCAACAUCGCAUGUUGUAAACCUUUAUAUAUAGAUUAAGAUAUAGUAUUUGUAAGGAUUUUUACAGAGCAUAAUCCAGAAACUGGUAUGAGUUGGUAUUUUUCUAACGAUUUGCACACCUGUAUUUUGACAAAGGCUAUAACAUGUUUGUAAUGGGUAUUGUAAUGCACAUACAGUAACAUUUGACAGUACUAAAAUCUUUAUCUGUAAUUGGCUGUAAUUUAUGUAUCAUUUCAACCUGGACUCAGAGGGUAGACGUAACACAGUAAAUGAAAAUCUGGGACUCUCCAAUUAGUACGAUAUAUUACGUUUGGUAUGGUAUGUAUUCAUUUGUGAAUGUCCAUCAUCCAUUUCAUAUGAUAUGUUACGAACUCCAAUUCUUAUGACGUGUUACGAAUUCUAAUUUGCUGUGGCUAACUUUAGCUAGUUGGCAAAGUGGCUGAUGCUAACGUUAGCUAGGUGGCUAAUAUUAGCUAUGCUAGUGGUUAGGAGUUAAGGUUAGGGUUAAUGUUACGAUUAGGAGUUAAAUUAAAGGUAUAAGGUUAGGGUUAGACGAAGGGUUAGCUAACAUGCUAAGUAGUUGCAAAUGAGCUAAAAUGCUAAAGUUGUCUGUGAUGAGAAUCGAACUAGACGGUGACGUUAUAAGCCAAACCAUCCACCCCAACCAACCCCCCUCCUUUCAUUUUUGCCUUAAGUAACCUUCCGUCUUAUGGAACCAUACCGAACGUAGCAUAGCAUACUAAUUUGAGUUUCCCAGGUUUUCGUUUACUAUGUUACGUCUACUCUAUGAAACCAGC